GAAUUUUAGUAUCAAAUUUUGACGAAAAUCGUAAAUAUUACGACCUUUCAAAUCAUAUAUGACCGAAUUCCGCUCAGAAUCGUUUUUCGUUGGCAUUUCUUAACCAUUGUAUACAGAUAUACGUUAAAUUCUCCUCUGCUCACCCAACUUUUCACCUACUAUAUCAAUGGCCCACAUAUCGUUCGAAUUAUGUCGUUUUUAUUUAUUUUUUUUCUAUGGGGUUUGACCUUCCUUAACAUCAUUCACCCUGAGGUGUAAUCUCAAAUACGCCAGUGGUACGUGCGCUUUCGAGGGAGAUCGGUGUAGAUUACUGCAGGUGUGCAUUGUCACGCG